rnacentral:tRNA from 2 species
CAGCAUUUAGUUUAUAUAAAAUUUAAAUUUUGGGGAUUUAAGAAGUGGGAUUCACUUUGCUGA